GUGUCAGCCGCCGCGGUAAUACGUAGGGUGCGAGCGUUAAUCGGAAUUACUGGGCGUAAAGGGUGCGCAGGCGGUCUCGUAAGCUGGGUGUGAAAGCCCCGGGCUUAACCUGGGAAUGGCAUUCAGGACUGCGAGGCUUUGAGUGCGGCAGAGGGAGGUGGAAUUCCACGUGUAGCAGUGAAAUGCGUAGAGAUGUGGAGGAACACCGAUGGCGAAGGCAGCCUCCUGGGCCAGCACUGACGCUCAUGCACGAAAGCGUGGGGAGCAAACAGGAUUAGAAACCCCCGUAGUCC
rnacentral:rRNA from 1 species